UAGGGAAUCUUCGGCAAUGGACGGAAGUCUGACCGAGCAACGCCGCGUGAGUGAAGAAGGUUUUCGGAUCGUAAAGCUCUGUUGUAAGAGAAGAACGAGUGUGAGAGUGGAAAGUUCACACUGUGACGGUAUCUUACCAGAAAGGGACGGCUAACUACGUGCCAGCAGCCGCGGUAAUACGUAGGUCCCGAGCGUUGUCCGGAUUUAUUGGGCGUAAAGCGAGCGCAGGCGGUUAGAUAAGUCUGAAGUUAAAGGCUGUGGCUUAACCAUAGUAGGCUUUGGAAACUGUUUAGCUUGAGUGCAAGAGGGGAGAGUGGAAUUCCAUGUGUAGCGGUGAAAUGCGUAGAUAUAUGGAGGAACACCGGUGGCGAAAGCGGCUCUCUGGCUUGUAACUGACGCUGAGGCUCGAAAGCGUGGGGAGCAAACAGGAUUAGAUACCCUGGUAGUCCACGCUGUAAACGAUGAGUGCUAGGUGUUAGACCCUUUCCGGGGUUUAGUGCCGUAGCUAACGCAUUAAGCACUCCGCCUGGGGAGUACGACCGCAAGGUUG
rnacentral:rRNA from 1 species